rnacentral:lncRNA from 1 species
UUUUGCUAUUUCUUGGGCCGCUCCCGUGGCAUAUGGAGGUUCCCAGGCUAGGGGUCUAAUCGGAGCUGUGGCCGCCAGCCUACACCAGAGCCACAGCAACGCGGGAUCCCAGCUGCAUCUGCAACCUACACCACAGCUCACGGCAACGCCGGAUCGUUAACCCGCUGAGCAAGGGCAGGGACCGAACCCACAACCUCAUGGUUCCUAGUCAGAUUCGUUAACCUCUGCGCCACGAUGGGAACUCCGACUUUCUUAAAUUGACUUUCUGUUGUCAGGUGGGAGGUGUGGAGAACAGAAAAGGUAAAUAUCAUCUGGGCACCCAUCAAGUAAGACCGAAUAGCUGCGUAUAAAAAACGACAGUUCAAGUUCAGUGCUAAGGGAGAUUGGUGUAGGGGAAAGUUAAUUCCAGAGAAAACCAGAAGCAAGAAGGACGUCAGGUAUGAGGUGGUAUUUGCCUUGGGCCUUGAAAGAUGAGCAGAAUCUCAGAGGUUGGAAACUGGUGACACGAUGGAGAAAAAUUAAAACCUUUCUAAUUCUGUCUACAUCAUUAGCUCGUUUUCCCCCGUUUUGUGGUUCACUAUUCUGUUUCAAGAAUGACAUUGUUAGCGAUGACGGACCAUCUCCUGUGUCCAAGAAAGAACCAGAGCUUGAAUUGGGGGGCUGUUUCCCAGAGGGAGAGCUGGACUAAAACCUGGGACCUUCCUAGCCCUCUUAGCUCAGAAGGAAAUGGAUUCCUGUGACCCAUGACAGGAGGCCCUUUUAUACAUAUUCUGCAUAUUUACAGAUUGAAAGCCAUCGUGUUUUGCUUGCUUUUUUGGUGUUUUCACAGAAGGAAGGUAUGCAGAGGCACACAGAGACCACACUGCCUAGCCUGUGUUUCCACACCUGCCAACACCUACAUCUGAAGGUUGUCGUUCAAGCUGCAAAGCAAUAGAAAACGUUUCAUAAAUGCUUAAAACAAGGAAUGAUAAAAAUCGCAUUAUUAGGAUACAUAACUUCACCACCACAAAAUUAUCAAAAUUAUUUUUGGGACGCUCCCCCCUGCCCCCGAAGCCCUUGUCCUUCAUUUUUUAGAGCUUGUUUGUUGUCUCCACAUCUAUGAGAAACUGUAGUUUCUUUUUUGGUUGCACCUGAAGCAUGUGGAAGUUCCCAGGCCAGGGAUCAAACCUGUGCCACAGCAGUGACAACCCUGAAUCCUUACCCUCUACACCACCAGGGAACCCCAGAAUUUGUAUUUUGUAUAAAUAGAAAACCGAGGCUUAAGGCAUGAACCCAAAAAGGACGACUGGUCAUAAAAUUGUUAUUUCAAAACUGUGUUCACGUCCAAUUAACAGCUGAAGCCAAAGGCUAUAUCUUAGUGAUCAAUAACUUCAAUGCUGUGCAUUCAGUGAUGCUGGAUCUUAUAGGUAAAGAAUGGUGUCCUCUCAUCAGUGGCACAUCUUUUAUCCUGUCUCUUUUAUUAGCCCAUCCUCUUAGUUUAUGUCAUCUUUAGAACAGUUGAUCACCGCACACAGCUCAGUUAACAUUUGUCAAUUUCCGUAUCUCAGUCCUAUUAAAGAUAAGAAAGACAGGAGUUCCUGUUGUGGCUUAGCAGAAAUGAAUCUGACUAGUAUUCAUGGGGAUGCGGGUUCGAUCCCUGGCCUCACUCAGUGGGUCAGGGGUCCAGCGUUGCUGUGGUGUUGGCCACAGUCACAGCUCGGACCCUGUGUUGCUAUGGCUGUGGUAUAGGCUGGCAGCUGCAGAUCUGAUUUGACCCCUAGCCUGGGAACUUCCAUAUGUCAAGGGUGCAGCCCUAAAAAAAGCCAAAAAAAAAAAAAAAAAGGAUAAGAAAAACAAUGAGACACAGGGAUGGACAUAUAUACUUAAUGGACACUUGUUUCACUCUCGCAUCUUCGAACUUGAGGCUCUU